AAUCUGCACAACCAGUACAAGAACUUGAAGAUAAGCACCUCCAUCGGGCAUCAACAAAUCCAAAUGGUUCCAAAUGGUUUGUUACAGCCGCUGCCCUCAGUGUCUUUGGAAAGAAAAAUCCAGUUUGCUGCAAGUCAAGAUCUCUCCUUUACGAGAAGCAAAUACUUUAAGCUAAGAGAGACUGAGAGGGAGUGUGAGCUGCAGAGUGUCAGGCCACCAGAUUUCUCAGUGAAACUGUACAGCUGUGUGUCUGCUUCUCAGAAGAAAGAAAGAAAGACAAAUUUGAAGAUAGUUGUACCUCAGCCCAGCCAAACAAAGAGGAGAAAUGGAAAUUUUCUAACAAAUUUUCUGUCCGCAAGUCAAGAGAGGAAAGAUCCUCCAAAGUUCAUCACUGCACACAGGCCUCCUGAUGCUCUGGAGACUGAACUGCUGUUUGUCACAGCUGGAAAAUAUCCCCGUGGGACUUACACGAACCCGAAACCUCACAACUUCAGACCGUUUGAUGAAGAGCUUCCAGACAUAAUAACUGCAUAUGAGAGAGAUCCCGGCAACCUGAAACUAAAACUAAAGCAUUUGGACACUUGUGAGUAGCUGUGCUCCUUUCUGCUUACUCCUAAACUGAGGCAGCAACACUGAAACAAAUGUAUCUGUAACACUGUCAGCAGCCUCGUCUUCACUUGAUUCAUUUUAUUUCUCUCGUAGUGCGGAUCACUCGGUCUGAGAUGGACUUUGGUUUCAGAGACACCACGAUACGGAUGGACACCUGUAAACCCGCAGAGCCAAAAUGGGAUGCAAAGCUCUUUCUCCCGCCACUGCCCUGGCCUCCAAAAUCAGCGUCCUACACUAGACACAGACGAAGAAGAGAAGCUUACAGUGCUUUCCUGGACCGUGUGGAAGAGAAACUCGGAAGAUCCUGGAAAAAUAAACCAUGACGCUCCUUCUUUCUUUGCACUUUCUGAGAGAAUAGGAGACUUGCGGUGGAGGAAGUUUCAUGCUGCUC